CCUACGGGAGGCAGCAGUGGGGAAUAUUGGACAAUGGGCGAAAGCCUGAUCCAGCAAUGCCGCGUGAGUGAUGAAGGCCUUAGGGUCGUAAAGCUCUUUUACCAGGGAUGAUAAUGACAGUACCUGGAGAAUAAGCUCCGGCUAACUCCGUGCCAGCAGCCGCGGUAAUACGGAGGGAGCUAGCGUUGUUCGGAAUUACUGGGCGUAAAGCGUGCGUAGGCGGUUAUUCAAGUCAGAGGUGAAAGCCCGGGGCUCAACCCCGGAACGGCCUUUGAAACUAGAUAACUAGAAUCUUGGAGAGGUCAGUGGAAUUCCGAGUGUAGAGGUGAAAUUCGUAGAUAUUCGGAAGAACACCAGUGGCGAAGGCGACUGACUGGACAAGUAUUGACGCUGAGGUACGAAAGCGUGGGGAGCAAACAGGAUUAGAUACCCUGGUAGUCCACGCCGUAAACGAUGAUAACUAGCUGUCCGGACACUUGGUGUUUGGGUGGCGCAGCUAACGCAUUAAGUUAUCCGCCUGGGGAUACGGUCGCAAGAUUAAAACUUAAAUGAAAUUUGAACGG
rnacentral:rRNA from 1 species